rnacentral:misc_RNA from 1 species
ACAAAAUUUUAAUUUUAUCUUUUGAUAGAAUUUAAAAAGUUAGGUUUUCUAUUAGAAAGCUUAAUCUUUCCACAUUUUGUGAACUUGUAUUAUUGUUAGAUUUUCUUGAGGAGCUAUUAGUUUUUUUUUCUAAUUGGAAAAAAAGAUUUUUGGCUUAUUCCAAACUCAAGAAAUUUUUAUAUUUAACUUACUAGAUAUUUUUUUGUCUUUAAUUUGUUUAAAAUUAUAAAUUUAAAA